rnacentral:rRNA from 1 species
AUUGAACGCUGGCGGCAUGCUUUACACAUGCAAGUCGAACGGCAGCGCGGGCUUCGGCCUGUCGGCGAGUGGCGAACGGGUGAGUAAUGCAUCGGAACGUGCCCAGUAGUGGGGGAUAGCCCUGCGAAAGCCGGAUUAAUACCGCAUACGACCUGAGGGUGGAAGCGGGGGAGCGAAAGGCCUCGCGCUAUGGUUGCGGCCGAUGUCGGGUUGGCUAGUUGGUGGGGUAAAGGCUUACCAAGGCGACGGUCCGUAGCUGGUCUGAGAGGACGACCAGCAACACUGGGACUGAGACACAGCCCAGACUCCUACGGGAGGCAGCAGUGGGGAAUUUUGGACAAUGGGGGCAACCCUGAUCCAGCCAUGCCGCGUGCGGGAAGAAGGCCUUCGGGUUGUAAACCGCUUCUGUUCGGGAAGACAUCCUAUGGGCUAAUACCCCGGGGGGAUGACGGUACCGGAAGAAUAAGCACCGGCUAACUACGUG